CCUACGGGGGGCAGCAGUGGGGAAUAUUGGACAAUGGGGGCAACCCUGAUCCAGCCAUGCCGCGUGUGUGAAGAAGGCCCUCGGGUUGUAAAGCACUUUCAGUGAGGAAGAACGCCUGGUGGUUAAUACCCAUCAGGAAAGACAACACUCACAGAAGAAGCACCGGCUAACUCCGUGCCAGCAGCCGCGGUAAUACGGAGGGUGCGAGCGUUAAUCGGAAUUACUGGGCGUAAAGCGCGCGUAGGUGGCUUGAUAAGCCGGUUGUGAAAGCCCCGGGCUCAACCUGGGAACGGCAUCCGGAACUGUCAAGCUAGAGUGCAGGAGAGGAAGGUAGAAUUCCCGGUGUAGCGGUGAAAUGCGUAGAGAUCGGGAGGAAUACCAGUGGCGAAGGCGGCCUUCUGGACUGACACUGACACUGAGGUGCGAAAGCGUGGGUAGCAAACAGGAUUAGAUACCCUUGUAGUC
rnacentral:rRNA from 1 species